UUUGCCUUUGUAUUUAAUCAUGAAUAAAUCUUCUUUUGGAGAAAGUCUUCCUUUAGAGUGACUCCAAUACUUUUUAAAUUCUGAAUUUCCUUUUUCCCGCGCUGCUGGACUCUUCUAUGUCAAUUUGAUUUGGGCAGUUGAUUUGCUCAAAUCGCUUGCCCAGAUCGUUUCUGCAAGUCAGUCCCAGUUUUCAGCUUUUACUUCCUGCAAGUGAUUUGGUCAAAUACUUCGACCCAAUCGAUUUUCCAGCUUUUUCUGUAAUUUUUCUCUAAAUUUCCAAUUUUCUCUUUUUCUGCAAAACAUCAUAAAACAUAAAUUAAACUAGAAAAAUGCAUAAUUAAACAGCAAUAAUGAUAAUAAAAAUGUGGCUAAAUUAUGUUUGAUCAAUGCUUUCUGUGGAUGUCUAUAUAACUCUUCUGUCUGCUUAUUGCCGUUCUGAUCCUCUCUCUAAUGAUAGGCACUACUUUGCUGGUGAUCUUUGCCAAUUCUAGCCUUGCUAAAGGCCCUUUCUCCCACUUCUUCCCAGCAGACGAGUGACCUGCACUUCCUCCCAUAUAGAGAUAAGGAGCCAUCCCAAUGCUAGUGACUGUGCGGUUGUCGAAGCCGGUCAAAAAUAACCUUUUUGGUUAUAAAUAAUUUUAUAACUGCAGAUAGUGGCAAUAAAUUGAAAGUAAAUAAACUGAAAGUAAAAUAAAAUGGGGGUUUUGAGAUUGAUGAAUUAAAC
rnacentral:lncRNA from 1 species